CGGCAAUCCUCUGUUGGAUUCUGUUACUUCUGAAUCUGCUGGAGAUAAGAUCACAGAAUAAGGCUGAACCAAUGGAAGUCGAUGAGGUCUGUGAAACAGUGAAAGAGCAGCAGAGACGAGACAACCAGAAGAUUCUUCAGUCUCUGGAGGGGUCGAAGCUUGCUAUCCCUAAGCCACCUCCAGAAUGAGGAGUUAAAAGACCAUGGCCGGAAAACUAAAAUUCUGUAUUGGUUGUUGAAGGGCAAAGAGACAACUAUUGAUCCGUGUUAGUUAACGGGGAUGCUUUUGCGAAGGACGGAAUGAUAUCAGGCCGUCAUGUGUGGGUUUGGAGGUCGUUGCAUCUCAUAGAAAGCCGAUUUUUCACAUUUGGUUAGCCGUUAAUAGUAAUAUUCAAUCUCUUACCGGGCUGGUGGUUGCAUAAAGGUGCCUAUUGCCACCAAGAUUCGAGCUUUUGUUGAUAUUUACCCCCAUCCUGUGAAGGAAGUUCGAGUGAGGGAGUGAAGGGAACAUAUUUGCACCUGCACCACAAAAAUCAUGUCUCAGCUUGGGUUAAGAACGAUGAAUGAGAUGGUUAGGUGAUCGGGCAUGCUUGAGAUCGACAAGGAAAUAACCAAGAACAACGAGAAGCUUGAGAACAUUGACCUGUCCCUCCUCCUUAGACCUGCUGUCGAUAUUAGGCCUGAUGCUGCACGGCACUGUGUCCAGAAGCAGGAUCAUGGGCUGGAUGUGGCUUUGGACAAUGAGCUCAUUUCACUCGCAGGACCUGCUCUCGAGAAAAGCAUCCCGGUAUACAUUGACAUGACCAUUUGCAAUGUGAACAGAGCAGGCGGAACUCUGCUGAGUCACGAAGUUACAAAUCAUUACAGAAUGCUUGGGCUUCCUUCUGAUACGAUCCACGUGAAGUUCCCCAGAAGUUACGAACCUGCAGAAGGUUGAAGUAGCUGCAUCAUCUGAGCAGUCCGUUGAAAGGCCUGCUGAAGUUACUAAUGCUACGAGACAUGGCGGUUUUAUCAAGUACGAGAGGAGCAGCGUUCAGUAGAGGGAGCGUAACGUUCGGGUCAACGACUGGAAGGAAGUCAAGGAGGAGACAAAGCCCAGGCCCCUUUUGAACACACACCCAGUCUGCUCGGUGCAUGGAGUGUGGAACUCCAUUCUGCCAUCAGAGGAGAGCAUGACAGCCCCAUAGACGACAUGGCUCUUCCUCGAAGACUGGCUAUCGGAUUAAAGCCCGUACGAAGAAACCAAAGAUUCAUGAGCUUCGCAAAGCUCGAUUACCAGCAUUGUUUGCUGCAUGCAGGUAGCUACUCUGCUGGAUUAAGAGCUCCUACACUGGCAUUGUCGUUCCUCGAAGCGGAAGCUGUCGAUAAGUUUCUUUAGACACCAUCCUUCCGGUACCAUUUUAGUUUUAAACCAUUUCUUAAUGUCUGAUUGCCGUUCAAAUUUGAGGCUUUAAGUCAGAUAUAAAUCAUUUUUG